GGGAUUUCUGCCUAUACUAACAUGGUGUUAAAGGGUUGUCGAGAUCAUGUCAACGAUUCCAGAGCUUGUCCCAUACUAGACAACAUAUACAACAUCUCACUAAACAUUGGUUACGUCCGUGCUGCUAUGACUUCUCUGUGCUGCAACACCACAGGAUGUAAUAACAAAACCCUUUCUGUCCCCAGUGAAAAACCAAACGGACUACACUGCUUCACCUGUAAAAGUGAGAACGACACUGUGUGCAACCAAAAAGUUAUGGAAUGUGUUGGCAUUGAAGACCGCUGCUUCAUCCAAACCCAGGGCAUAAAUUCCACUCUCCGGGGAUGUGUGUCCAGAAAUUACUGUGACAGACUAUCUGGCAACUCUACCUGUUGUGAAAAAUGUCGGUGCAACAGAGCUAGUGGUAUGGGGGGCCUGUCUCUCUCACUCCUGCUGGCUCUUCCAGUCAUACUACUGCUGUUCUAGAAGACUUCCUCAAGUCAGACAAGCCACAAGAUUGCAAAAGAGUGACAGAGUUAGGGUUGGGUACAUGACAACACCAGACAUAUUUCAUAUAUCUAGUUUCUUUUUUCUUUCUACUAGGUGUUCGUAAAACACUGUGCAGUUAUUGUGCACCUGUCUUAUUUUAUCCGUUUUUAUAAAUCAGUUUGAUGGACUAUGUAUCAUGAUUACAUUAGCUGACUGUGGUUUGUAACUUUUUGACAAAAUAUGAAUGUAA